UUUGGCGGCGACCAACAGGUCUUAAAUGGAUAGCAGCAGCAACUCUGGUGCUAAUACAUGCGAUUGUUUCUCCAGAUGUGAAUUAUGGAGGAAAAGUUGACCUCAUCAGAGGCACGCCAUUCGACUGAGUGACCUAUCAGCUUGUACUUAGGGUCUUUACCUAGGUAGGCUAUCACGGGUAACGGGCGGUUACCGUCGGACUGCCGGAGAAGGCGCCUGAGAGAUAGCGACUAUAUCCACGGGUAGCAGCAGGCGCGAAACUUUCCCACUCGAGACUUUCGGAGGAGGUAAUGACCAGUUCCAUUGGUGCCUUUUGGUACUGUGGAUAGGGGUACGGUUUUCCACCGUACCGAAACCUAGCAGAGGGCCAGUCUGGUGCCAGCAGCUGCGGUAAUUCCAGCUCUGCGAGUUUGCUCCCAUAUUGUUGCAGUUAAAACGCCCGUAGUCUGAAUUGGCCAGCAAUGGUCGUACGUAUUUUUACGUUCACUGUGAACAAAUCAGGACGCUUAGAGUAUGGCCACAUGAAUGACUCAGCGCAGUAUGAAGUCUUUGUUUUCUUCCGAAAACAAGCUCAAUGAGAGCCAUCGGGGGUAGAUCUAUCUCAUGACGAGUGGUGGAAUACUUUGACUCAUGAGAGAGAAGCUGAGGCGAAGGCGUCUACCUAGAGGGUUUCUGUCGAUCAAGGGCGAGAGUAGGAGUAUCCAACAGGAUUAGAGACCCUGGUAGUUCCUACCUUAAACGAUGCCGACAGGAGUUUGUCAUUUGUUAAUGGCAGAAUCUUUGGAGAAAUCAUAGUUCUUUGGGCUCUGGGGGAACUACGAACGCAAGGCUGAAACUUGAAGGAAUUGACGGAAGGGCACA
rnacentral:ncRNA from 2 species